ensembl:lncRNA
CUCAGACGAGCAGGUGAUGCAUUGACAGGGAGCAGAUGGUCCCCUGUGGAGAGCCCAGUAUACGUGUCUUUUGUCAGCAAGGCCACCUUGUGGGAACGAGGACUCUGCCGCCAAACCGCCCACAAACGUCCAAACCACGGUCCCUUAUUGUGUCCACGGUUCUUGUCUCACAUGACCGCCCGCCCCGAGGACCUCAGGCCUCCUUGUGUCCCGAGCUCCGGGUCCAGACCGCUGCCCCCCCCUCGGGAGAAGACGGCGGUAACGCACGCCCUCGCUGCACCGAAGACACAAACGCUGGACGGUUUCUUCCGUCUCCAUCCAGACGGGAGAAGGAAAAGUGCGCCGAUGGCGGGAAGGCGCUCUGCUGCUGUUGUUGUUCCCUGUCCUCCACCCUCCGCUGCCCCACCGCCACGCACCGCCAACCCAACACCGCCCCGCCAAAACUCCCCGCACGGCGACUUCGAGAGGCGGCGAAGAAGCCGGUCGGCAUCUCCCUGCGACGAGCCACCUGCCCCGGGGGGGGGCGUUGAAGUCCGUGAGACGGCUCCGCGACCCGCCGCCGCGUCCCCCCACCCGGGCUGCCGGCUGCCUGCGGAGCCGAAUGGAUCGGAAGCGCCACCGCCGCCGGCGGCCUCCUCCUCCUCCUCCAUCUCACACGGGUCGCUCUCAGAUUUCAGCCGCCCACCGUCCAGCCGGUUCAGCCGCAGCACCGACCUCGCCAGCGGCCGGAGCAGCGUCCUGUCCGGCGCAGAUCUCGGAGACUCGGAGCCAGGAGGCGGCGUUUGCUCCUCACCGCUCCAGCCUCGCCCGGUGACGGGGUCACCCUCGGCUCCUCGCCCUCCGCCGGCAUCCCACCCUCGCCAACCAUCCGCCGAUGCUUCGGCCACCCCUCUCCUCUACGAACCGCUAUUUGGGCAAACCCGACCCCUCUCGCCGCCGUCGACGUCAGGUGGGCUUCGUCAAUCAGAUAACCCUCCGAGCAGGAGCGAAAGCCCCGAUGCGACAAAGUAUCUCCAACCAGUUCCAUCAGAAGCUCCUGGUCCCCACCCAUCCAUGGCCUCCGACCGCGGCCUCGUCGGCCUGGCUUUCCCCUCCGCCACCUGGUCCUCCUGCCCGAGUCCGCAGAGGACCACUCCCCGCUCCUCGGGGUCAGGACCGGCUCCGACCCCUCCUGCGUCGGCGCCCCGUCUGGAGUCUCGUCGCUGGUCCCCGCUGCCUCCCAUCUCCCCUGUCGGAGGACGCUGUGGCACCGCAGCAUCCCGCUACUCCGAGCUCAGCUGCACUCAGUCCCGCGCGUUCGAUGAGCUGGAGGCCAUCGCCCCUCGCUCGCUGUCCUCCCCGUCUCUGGACCGGCUGUCGGACUCCUCCGGGUGCCCUUCACCUGACACAGAGCUGUCUCCGGGCCUGGCGGCGCUGACGGUGGGCUGUGACUCCGGGACCCUGGGCUCUCUGUCCCGGGUGCAGCUGCUCCUCCUGGACCGGCCGCAGCCCGACACCCGGCCGGGUCUGUUCGGCCCGGAAGAGGAGCUCUCGCCGGUGCAAGACUGGCCUCGUCUCGCGAUGCAACAUGAAGGUGGCGUGAGGCCCCGCACAGCUGGCGGCGUCUCUGAAAGGUGUGACUCCGCAGGGAAAGUCCACGAAAACAAAUCGGAGGGGUCCGAAGACGGUUUCUGGCUCUCCGUCUUCGUGGAUCAUCGACCCGGAGUCCAUCGCUCGCCAUGUUCAGAUCCGCCCUCUCCCCUUGCGUGUCCGAUCUCGGUUCCAGCGGAGGGGAAGGGGGCCCCGCCGAGGAGGAGGAGGAGGCCAAUUAUCCGGGAUGGGGGCAACAAGUCGAAUCCUCAGCCGCAGGACGGAGGCCCGCGAGCCUUGAUGGCAGAAGUGAGGAGAGGAAGCGGAGGAUGGAGGAGAGGAAAACAAAGGUGCUGAGCUUGCUCUCCAAGCUGCAGGACGACGGGCCGCGGCAGCCAAAGGGCCACCGGAGCUGCUCCAACUUCCAGGACUUUGACUUUUUGGCAAAGUAUUGCAUUUUCAGUCAGGAGAAGCUGGCCGAGUACAAAAGGGCUUUUGAAGCAGAGGACGCUGAUGAUGACGGCUACAUAUCCUGCCUUCAGGCUCUGCUCGCGCUCAAGAGCGUCAUCCCCGCGGAGCGGCUGUCCGACGAAGAAGAAAUCUACGUCUACAGGAUCUUAGAGAUGGUGGACUUCAGCGUGACAGAUGGGCUGGUGGACCUCCGGCUCUUUGCUGUGAUUGCGAGCCUGGCGCAGAAAGUGGCGGCCAUGGAUGAGUUCAUGCGAUCGCUAAUCACCGACAUGGACUUCCGCUCGUUAGAAGUGAGGCUCUUCAAAGCGAAGCAACUGUUCCUGUUCCUCAUGGAGGAGCAGCAAGGAGACGCCGGAGCCCAGCGGGGCUCCAUCAGCGCGGAGCAGCUCCUUCUGGAGCUGAAGGCCGGGGGCAUCCACCUGGAGCAGGAGGCGGCCGUGCGGCUGGAGCUGCAGCGCAUCCCCCCCCUGGACCUGCUGGACUUCCUGGCCUACCUGCCGCUCUUCAUGCUCAUUCACAAGUCGGUCAUCGCCAACCCUCUCAAUGACUCCGGCGACCUCUGACCUCGGCCCUUGGCACCUGGCGAAGCAGCGUCACUGCCGUUAAAUCCACCAACACGCAGGAACCCUUCAUUUAAUUUGUUUUGUUUUUACAUUACUAGUAAAGAUAAGUCUGGUUAUUAGCUAUUUAGUUAGCCUGGAAUGCUAACGUGCAGUUAGCUGCUAACUGCCAGCUCAGCACGUUGAGCGUUAUGAAACUUUUGCAACUUCUUUUCACAACCACUUGAUGUUUGUCUCAUUGAUUAAUAUAUUGUUCUGUGGUUCCUGUUAACGUUUCAUGGAGCUGUGAAGUGCUGUCUAUGGUCCUGAAAUGUUUCCGUAGAUGUUGCAGCCGUUUGAAAAAGCUUUAAACGCAUCAAAAAGUUGCAUUAAAUAAAAGCACCUCCAAACGGGGCGGGGCUCUCUUCU